UACGUAGGGUGCAAGCGUUAAUCGGAAUUACUGGGCGUAAAGCGUGCGCAGGCGGUGAUGUAAGACAGAUGUGAAAUCCCCGGGCUCAACCUGGGAACUGCAUUUGUGACUGUAGAGCUGGAGUACGGCAGAGGGGGAUGGAAUUCCGCGUGUAGCAGUGAAAUGCGUAGAUAUGCGGAGGAACACCGAUGGCGAAGGCAAGCCCCUGGGCCUGUACUGACGCUCAUGCACGAAAGCGUGGGGAGCAAACAGG
rnacentral:rRNA from 1 species